rnacentral:misc_RNA from 1 species
UGCUGCUUUAAGCUUAGAUUCCUGAAAGAUCAAAGCACCAAUAUCCUGGUUAACACAGACCAAAGCAAAGGAAAACAUUCAAAUUGAGAACAAAUUUUCAAUAGUCAGUUGGUUAAAGGUUUGACACUUUGCAGUAGAGUGUUUUGGAUCUUAGUUAUGACACAACUUCACAUUACACUAGCUCUGCCAUUACAUUCAGUUUUAAAAGAAUAAAAUGAAGAGCCUAAUUAAUUUAUGCACA